GACGAACGCUGGCGGCGUGCUUAACACAUGCAAGUCGAGCGGAGCGGCGAACGGGUGAGUAACGCGUGAGUAACUGCCCCCCUCUCUGGGAUAACAGUUGGAAACGGCUGCUAAUACUGGAUAGUGGGGGAUGACUCGCGUCCAAUCAGCUUGUUGGUCGGGUAGUGGCCUACCAAGGGGACGACGGGUCGCCGGCCUGGGAGGGCGACCGGCCACAUUGGGCUGAGGUACGGCCCAAACUCCUACGGGAGGCAGCAGUGGGGAAUAUUGCACAAGGGGGGAAACCCUGAUGCAGCAACGCCGGGGGCGGGAUGACGUCCUUCGGGUUGUAAGCCGCUUUCAGCCAUGACGCGGUAGUGGCAGAAGAAGCAACGGCUAACUACGUGCCAGCAGCCGCGGUAAUUC
rnacentral:rRNA from 1 species